rnacentral:rRNA from 1 species
UAGGGAAUUUUCCACAAUGGACGAAAGUCUGAUGGAGCAACGCCGCGUGCAGGAUGAAGGCCUUCGGGUUGUAAACUGCUUUUAUUGGUGAAGACUUCCGACAGUAACCAAUGAAUAAGGAUCGGCUAACUACGUGCCAGCAGCCGCGGUCAUACGUAGGAUCCAAGCGUUAUCCGGAAUUACUGGGCGUAAAGAGUUGCGUAGGUGGCAGAGUAAGUAGGGAGUGAAAGCGUUCGGCUCAACCGAAUAUACAUUUUCUAAACUGCUCAGCUAGAGAACGAGAGAGGUAAAUGGAAUUCCCAGUGUAGGAGUGAAAUCCGUAGAUAUUGGGAGGAACACCGAUGGCGUAGGCAGUUUACUGGCUCGUUUCUGACACUAAGGCACGAAAGCGUGGGGAGCA